GGAGUGCAUUUGAUAAGUGCUGUUUCCUGUGGCUAAAUUGUACCCAGGGAUUUUAAGCUUUGAUCACUUUCAAAUGGCAUGUACAUGCACACACAUGAGCGUCUCUAAACAGAGAGACUGAGCUGGAGACUACAAGAGAAGCUUUAUUCCAAUUUCUGCUCUGCCGGAACUCUCGUCUAAGAUCACUGACUUGCCUGGCAGUGGUGUUCAGGAUUUUUAAAGGAUGGUCUACUCAAGUGAAUACAAGAAUGCAUCUACUGGAUUUUGUUUCUCAUCGGUAAAAUGUUCACCUCAAUGAGCAUUGGCUGCCCUGGUUUUCUAAGCUGUUCAUCUACAGAGCUGUACCCACAGAUUUUCAUGUUUUUCAGCAGCUGGGAAGCAAAGGACCAAGACAUAAGGUGAAAGGUGUGAGCCGUGGUGGGCUAGUAAACAGGUUUUCCAAAUCAGAGAAGAAAGGAAGGAAGGAAGGAAGAAAGAAAGAAGGAACAAAAGAGACAGAAAGAGACAGAGAAAGAAAGGAAAAAAAGAAUGGAAAGAAAGAAAGAAGGCAAGAAAGAAAAAGAAGAAAACCCUGAAGUGCAGCUUUGGUAGCAUUUGCCUUGAUUGCAUUAUAAAAAUUCUCCCACUAAAGCCAAUUUCAUUGAUUUGACAACUGGCUGUCAGUGUUCCUGAAUAUUUAACUACGAGCUCCAGGAGCCCAUAGGAGCUGGUUCAACAAGCCACUGGGUGUGAGGCACAGGCAUGAGGUGAAGCACUGUUAGCCUGUUCAAACUUUAUUUGGUGUUCUGUUGCAAUCCUAAUUGGAUGUCCUGAAAUUCGCUUCUGACUCCGACCACCCAGAGUCGUGUUGAUCUCACAACGUUAGGACGCAGUCCUCCACAAGGCUGCCCUCACUUCAGACACCAGCUGCAAGUGGGGGCCCCAGGCCACCUGCUCUACUGACACACUGGCCACAAAUUCAGAGUUUCCCACAAAACCCCUUAGGAUGACAAUUUCCUAGAGUGACUCACAGAACUCAGGAAAGUACUGUACUUUGUAUUUAUACUGCUCUAAAGGAUACAAGUCAGGGGGAGCACACUAUUGAAGACAAAUGAAGAGAUGCAUAGGAUGAGGAUUGAGAGGGAACACAGGUCUUUUUUUUGCAUCAUAUCACUCUGAUCUAAACCUUUGUGAUUAUAGUACACCCACAUGUAUACUCCAGGAUGCUCUCUCUAUAUUGAGGUCAUCUGAUUAGCAACCUUAAUUCUAUCUCCAACUUUAAUUCUCCUUUGAUGUGUAACGUAACAUACUCACAGGUUCUGGGAAUUAUGAGGUGGACCUCUUUAGGAGGUCGGUAUUCUGUCUGCCAAACUACUCUAAUGUCUGUGGUAGCCUGGUUUGCAAUCAUUGUGUUUUUCCUGAAAAACUAGAUUUACGGUCAGUUACACUCCACCAUCAGUGCAAAUGUAAUAAGGGCAAAAUCAUCUCAUUGAUUCCCUGUCACUCCCACCUCACUACCAAGUUUGAACUUUUGGCUAACUUCUCUGCCUGGGAAGUGUCGUUGUGGUGGCAGCUCUAUCUGCAGCCUUCUUCUAGGGGGAGCUGCCUGAUGAGAAGCCCUGCAGAAGAAGCAGGGCAGGUGCUUUUCUCACUGGCGAUGGCCUCUUCUACUACGGCUGCCUGGGACAGCAGGGAACAGAGGACAGAAAGAUGAUCAAUUUGAGUGACUGUUGUUCAAGAACCCCUAAUUGCCUCCAAAUAGCUGUUGUCCACAUUCUGACAACCAAAAAGCCCCUAUGUUUUAGCUGUGAAUGUCAAUGUAAAUCCUAGACCUUUACAUCUAGAUGUGGCCAUCGACUAGCUUUGGACAAUGAGAUAGAAGGACCAGUGUUGUGUGGAAUUUCUAUUGGUUUUGAUUUAAAGGGAUCCUCUUUGACUUCUCUCAUUCCUCCUUACUGCUCUGUGGAAUAAAAAUGUAAUGAAUAGAGUCCCAUCAACCAUCUGCGGCCAUGAUGAGACCUUGGGAAAGCCAAAAAAAAUUGAUAGUGGUUCCUUGAUACAGUGCAAUUGACAUAGCAGAUCUGGAAGCCUACUACCAAUGGUGUACUAGUAAAUGCUUACCCACCAAUCCUUGAGCAAAAAUGCCCUGAUUUGUAGAGUUUUCUGAUUUCGGUGGAGUAAAUACUCUCACCAUGGCUGAUUUCAAGUUACCAGUAUGACAUAUGUCAUCAGUGAAUGUGGAAUUGGAAAGAGAUGUGCAUAACUGGCUCUUGCAAGCCAGUUCCAAUAAAGGUUAAUGUAAGGGAAAUAAACUUCUAUCUUGUGUAAGCCAUUAUUUUGGGGCUCUUUUCUAUUCAUAGCCAAAACACAUCUCAGUGAUAUUUCUGGCUAGUAAUGUAUGAGGCUACAGCAGAGAUGCUGAAGACCAAACAGGGCCAUUCGGUUUCCUUCCUUAUGGACUUCAAACUGAAGGCAUGGAGAAAGGAUCGUUGGUUUGCAGCUGGAUUAUAAGCAAAAUGAUGC
rnacentral:lncRNA from 1 species